rnacentral:rRNA from 1 species
CGCGGCCUAUCAGCUUGUUGGUGAGGUAACGGCUCACCAAGGCGACGACGGGUAGCCGGCCUGAGAGGGCGACCGGCCACACUGGGACUGAGACACGGCCCAGACUCCUACGGGAGGCAGCAGUGGGGAAUAUUGCACAAUGGGCGAAAGCCUGAUGCAGCGACGCCGCGUGAGGGAUGAAGGCCUUCGGGUUGUAAACCUCUUUCAGCAGGGAAGAAGCGAAAGUGACGGUACCUGCAGAAGAAGCACCGGCUAACUACGUGCCAGCAGCCGCGGUAAUACGUAGGGUGCGAGCGUUGUCCGGAAUUAUUGGGCGUAAAGAGCUUGUAGGCGGUUUGUCGCGUCUGCAGUGAAAAUCCGGGGCUCAACCCCGGACUUGCUGUGGGUACGGGCAGACUAGAGUAUGGUAGGGGAGACCGGAAUUCCUGGUGUAGCGGUGGAAUGCGCAGAUAUCAGGAGGAACACCGAUGGCGAAGGCAGGUCUCUGGGCCAUAACUGACGCUGAGAAGCGAAAGCAUGGGGAGCGAACAGGAUUAGAUACCCUGGUAGUCCAUGCCGUAAACGUUGGGCGCUAGGUGUGGGACUCGUUCCACGAGUUCCGUGCCGCAGCUAACGCAUUAAGCGCCCCGCCUGGGGAGUACGGA